GACGACAUCGAAGGUUGUCAUUAAGUGUUUUUCAACCACCUUUUUUAUGAAAUGCGACUGUUACGUAAAUAAUAUUUUGUGGCUACAAAGAAAUACGCAUUCGUUUUAAGCCUCAGGUGGAAAUGCAAACUAAAGGACUUAUAUUGAAUGUCAAUGUUGUGGGAUUGACGGGGAAUGGAAAGGUCAAUGGAGUCGGCAAGUCGUGCUUUUGUAAUCGUGCGGUUCGACCCAGGCAGGACGAUUAUCACGAAAACCAUAGUUCCAUAGUGAGCACGAACGACUUUUGUGGGCAAAUCAUUAACAAUCAGCAUUUCUUAUAUUGGGGUGAACGGAGAUUGUCUGACGAGAAAACUCGAUUAAGAAUUCUUGAACAGACCGUUUUUGCCAAUGAUGAAACAUUCGAAGUUUUUGAGACCAACAUGGGGAAGAACUAUUUGCGCAGGUGCAAAACGCUUAAACUCUUCUCACCUGGAAAAGCGAUGUACAUUUGCCGGGAGCAGAUGGGUACUGAAAUACAAUUUGACGACAAAUUGGUCUUAAAUAGAGAAUUCCAGGUGAAUGGUAUUCUGUGUCUGAUUGACGUCAGUAUUGAAUGUCAGAUAAACCUUGAGGCACAGUUGUUAUUUACCCUAGAAGUAAUACAGUUUGCAUUGAAAGCCAAAAUCCCAGUUCUGGUUGUGACAACCAAAAAUGACAAAGCUGACACCAUUUGUAAAAAUAGUCUUGAGUCGUUUUUAUCUGAACAUAAACUGAAGCCCAACGUACCAGUUGUAGAAACUUCUUCUCAAUGCAAUAUUAACAUCGAAGCAGCGCUAGAACUGUUGACAGUACUAAUGCUCGAACCAACAAAAUCUGUUGCAAGUAC